rnacentral:rRNA from 1 species
UACGUAGGGGGCAAGCGUUGUCCGGAUUUAUUGGGCGUAAAGAGCGUGUAGGCGGCUAGGUAGGUCCGUUGUGAAAACUCGAGGCUCAACCUCGAGACGCCGAUGGAAACCAUCUGGCUAGAGUCCGGAAGAGGAGAGUGGAAUUCCUGGUGUAGCGGUGAAAUGCGCAGAUAUCAGGAAGAACACCCGUGGCUAAGGCGGCUCCUCUAGUACGGUACUGACGCUGAGACGCGAAAGCGUGGGGAGCGAACAGG